ACCCUAGCGGCGAACGGGUGAGUAACACGUGGGCAACCUGCCCGUAAGACUGGGAUAACUCCGGGAAACCGGUGCUAAUACCAGAUAAUCUCUUUCUCCGCAUGGAGAAAGAGUAAAAGGCUUCGGCCACUUACGGAUGGGCCCGCGGCGCAUUAGCUGGUUGGUGAGGUAACGGCUCACCAAGGCGACGAUGCGUAGCCGACCUGAGAGGGUGAUCGGCCACACUGGGACUGAGACACGGCCCAGACUCCUACGGGAGGCAGCAGUAGGGAAUUUUCCGCAAUGGGCGAAAGCCUGACGGAGCAAUGCCGCGUGAGUGAUGACGGCCUUCGGGUUGUAAAACUCUGUUCUGAAGGAAGAAGUUCUGACGGUACUUCAGGAGAAAGCCCCGGCUAACUACGUGCCAGCAGCCGCGGUAAUACGUAGGGGGCGAGCGUUAUCCGGAAUUAUUGGGCGUAAAGCGCGCGCAGGCGGUCAUUUAAGUCAGGUGUGAAAGGCUGCGGCUCAACCGCAGAGCGGCACCUGAAACUGGAUGACUUGAGUGCAGGAGAGGAGAGCGGAAUUCCCGGUGUAGCGGUGGAAUGCGUAGAGAUCGGGAGGAACACCAGUGGCGAAGGCGGCUCUCUGGCCUGUUUCUGACGCUGAGGCGCGAAAGCGUGG
rnacentral:rRNA from 1 species